GGCGGGUCUCCCCGCAUUGCAAGGCGGCAAACCUGGUCAGGUCCGGAAGGAAGCAGCCAUAGCUGUCCACUGCAAGUGCCGGGGGUCAGGCUCGCCACC
rnacentral:SRP_RNA from 1 species